rnacentral:rRNA from 1 species
CCUACGGGAGGCAGCAGUAGGGAAUAUUGCUCAAUGGGGGAAACCCUGAAGCAGCAACGCCGCGUGGAGGAUGAAGGUUUUCGGAUUGUAAACUCCUUUUGUUAGAGAAGAUAAUGACGGUAUCUAACGAAUAAGCACUGGCUAACUCCGUGCCAGCAGCCGCGGUAUUACGGAGGGUGCAAGCGUUAGUCGGAACCAAUGGGCGUAAAGCGCGCGUAGGCGGGAUAGCAAGUCAGAUGUGAAAUCCUAUGGCUUAACCAUAGAACUGCAUUUGAAACUGUUAAUCUAGAGUAUGGGAGAGGUAGGUGGAAUUCUUGGUGUAGGGGUAAAAUCCGUAGAGAUAAAGAGGAAUACUCAUUGCGAAGGCGACCUGCUAGAACGUAACUGACGCUGAUGCGCGAAAGCGUGGGGAGCAAACAGGAUUAGAUACCCUAGUAGUC